UGAAUAUGUUGUCCAGACAACAAAUAUUCUGAACAAAAAGAAGUAGAGACUAUUUUAUGUUAGUGUUUGUAUUUUUGUAAUAGUACUCUUUGUUUAAAAAACGUCUCAUACGACGUAACGAAAGUGCACUUGAGAUUUCAUUCUAGGGUUUGUUUUCUGGUUUGCGUUUCAUCGAUUUCAUGUUUUUCAUUGGAAUUCUAAAUUUCUUGAAAUUAUCCUUCGAAGUACUGACCUUGAAGCAACAGAUUAAUGAAAUCCAGCUUUCGGAAAGGAACUGUUCUUCGGUGUAAUGUUAUUUAUCCAUCCAUCCAUAUUUGUCAGCUGCGAUUUGAUUCAGAAUCUGCUGUGACUGCUAAAUAGUUGUACCCAGGAAGAAACGAACUUAGGGUGCAUUAUGGCUGCUCUAUCGGUAAGUUUUCAUCAAUUUCGUGUAUGAUUCCGAUAGUGAUAAUCUCACACUUAUUUUCAGCUUUCGGUAUGGAAAAAUCUUUCAACCUAAAGGUACGCCGUGCGUUCUGAAGCGAUGCGUGAGAGACCAGACAACAUCAUCAAAUACCUAUGCAUCAGCUGGGGUGUUCUCAAGUUUUAUACAUAAGAAUGAAAGCACGACUAAAGAAAAAUCUCUUCGGGAACUCGGUUGUGAAUUGAUGGUUAAAGUUUUCCAGAGGUGUAAGUACCUUAGAAGUACUCGGCAAUCUGGUUAUGGCUAACCAAUAUUAUUUCAAACAACUGUUCGUUAUUCUGAGAUGGCCCCACGAGCUGCCCUCCCACUCUGUUUUAAUCGCAACUUGUCCGUGUUCAUGUUGACAAAAGAAGUUUGUUACCCUGCUUGAGACGCAUGCAUGGAAUAAGCUAAUCUACGGCUGACACCGAGUCUGAAUCAUCCUCUUUCAAGAGAUGGAACAACGGUAUCACUUCGUUAGUUCGUUGGAUCAGACGGGUGGCACUAACAGCAGCAGGAACGAAAAGUCCCUACAGUUCAGAAAUGUUUUCCUGCAACGGCGGUCACAUUCCGAUUUCUUUUAUCUUCGAUUUCCCACGAGGGCUUUUUGGUUAUGUUUGAUGAACUUCAACAAACGAUUGCAUGUCUACGGAGGUCUACGGUUUAUAACUCCACUACUCCGGGAAAUCAGCUGGUCGAUGUAUGACAGUUGUUUGGCUCUCGAAGCAAUGGAGCCCGUGUAAGACCGUGUUGGAGGAGCUGGAGGUGAAUGAGAAAUCAUGACCGUUUCUUUUGUAAGUGGGCACCAAAAUGUUCCCCAUGUACAAAAAGGUCAUCAAGUAUCUGAUGGAUAUGUCGACGAUCAAGGAGCACCUGCAAUGGUCUAUAAAUCACAGGAUUUCUUUAAUGAACGUUCUGCUCAUCUUUGACAACUGUGAAAUGGUCAACGAUGACGAUUCGCCGGUGGGCACAGCCGGUCAUAGAAUGUGCCAUCAUGCGUUGGGCUGAACUGACCGAGAAGCCGGCCACGCAACAACCACAACGACAGCAAUCAUCAUAACAGCCGGAUCAACAACACUCCAGCAGUCAACCGUAUCGAUUAAUUUAUAAGAAGUUAGUUUAAACAGUUUGACGUUAAAAAUUUAGGUAGUUAUAUUGAAACUCGGUAAAAUAGUAGAAAACCAAGACCUAAAAUGACCUCCAAAUGUAAAUAAUAGGAUUUUUUGAAUAGCUCAUGUAAAAACUGUAGGCAAAUAGAAUUGUAGCAUUGAGACUACAUAAGAAAAUUCUCAAAAUG